rnacentral:rRNA from 1 species
AACGAACGCUGGCGGCGUGCCUAACACAUGCAAGUCGAGCGAGAAAGUCCCCGCAAGGGGAUGAGUAAAGCGGCGAACGGGUGAGUAACACGUGGGCAACCUGCCCUUCAGUCAGGAAUAACCCCGCGAAAGCGGGGCUAAUACCGGAUGACAUCCCUUGGGGGCAUCCUCGGGGGACCAAAGGGGGCGAGCGCAAGCGGCUCCCGCUGAAGGAUGGGCCUGCGGCUGAUUAGCUAGUUGGUGGGGUAGCGGCCUACCAAGGCGACGAUCAGUAGCCGACCUGAGAGGGUGACCGGCCACACUGGGACUGAGACACGGCCCAGACUCCUACGGGAGGCAGCAGUGGGGAAUAUUGCGCAAUGGGCGAAAGCCUGACGCAGCGACGCCGCGUGGGUGAUGAAGGCCUUCGGUCGUAAACCCUGUCGGUGGACGAAUCCGCCUCGCUAAUACCGAGGCGGUUGACGGUACCACCGAAGGAAGCCCCGGCUAACUACGUG